CUUUUGGUCACCUGAGGGACUUUCACCAAAAUUAAAAUGCAUAUUGAGCAGAAUAUAUGAUGUUCCCUUCUACAUGUCCACGGAAUGUGAAAACCUCAAGAAACUCUUUGUCCUCGGUCCCAUCAAGGGAGAUAGAGGUGAUCAUGAAGGUUCUGUGGGUGGUCAUGGACCACGAGAAGGAACUAAUGCUUUGCAUAGAACCACUCUCUAACCACAAGGAGCCUGGGCAACGGAGCUGACGGUGUCCAUGGGCUACAUGUGGGAAAGGAGCAAGGACUCACAGGUGGGUCAGAAGUAUGAUGAAGUGAUGGUGAUCUCUGUGCUCAGUCCUGUACGUUAUCUGAACCAGAUGGCCACCCCACCAGCCUGAAGCCCCACCCUUGGGCUGGGCCUGCCCACAGCUGCCAUUUAUACUCAUCCUGCAAGGUAUGGCAUCACAUCCGAAGCAGUGGAAUUUCAGUAAGCCUGCCAUUUCCACCUCUACCUUCCAGUCUGAGAAGAGGCAGGGCAGCAAGACAGAAGAAUCAUGGCUUGAGGAAGACCGGGAGUUAAGACAGAAGGCCAGCAGCUCAGCCAAAGCGUCUGCUAGUCCCCUACCUGGUGGAGAAAGGAAGACCAUCCCAGCAGAGUCCCCAACAUGGCCUGUAGCCUCCCCAGCAUCCACACACCAGAAGCAGUGAUGAGUCCCAGAUGGAGCCAGCUCCCCCUCCCCCGCCAUUGUAUCCCGCAAAGGAAAUGCCACGCCUUCCACACUGGCAACUGAGAUAGGUGCCUGACCACCAGAAUUUGCCUGAUGGUAUAACCCCAUCCUCUCCCUCUGGCCACAGCCAGGGCCUGCAGGGGGUCACUGGGAAGGGAAAGGUCCUUCACCUUCCUCCGCACCUGUGUUGGAGGUCCGCCAGAAAGAUCUGGCUUGCGUCUGAGCCUGGAGACGACCAGACCUCAGGUAGCCUGUCAGAGCAGUGACAGAAACAAGAAGACAUGCAGGGAGGGCAGGCGUGCUCCCUGUGCUUCCCAUGGGGCAUGAAGAUCGUGAGCUCCACGGAGCCUGUCAAGGGAGUAUGGGAGACGGGCCAGGUACUGGACACAAACAGUGCCGGCAGGAACUAAGUAGGACGUAACUGAUGCCAUGCGCUCACAGCCUGCCGCGAGAGGACUUUGUGCAUCCAAAGAGAGAGGGGCCUAUGUGCCCUGCCUUUGCUCACAGGGUUCAGAUGAGAGGAUGGCUGGCAUCUCCACAGCCUUCACAGGCAGUCUCCAUUUUAUAAGAGAACGGCCCUGAAUGCUUCGAAAUUCUCUUGUGAUCCAGCUG